CUCCAAUGUUUCUGAACGCUGAAGUAGUUCAUCAAAAUUAUUUUCCAGGAUUAGACAAACCGUACCUGCAAACCAAGGAGAUGAAUUUUGGCCUAUGUUUGGCAGAAGUCUCUUGCAAUGAUGGGGAAUAACCUCUCAUGAACGUAUAAUUAGAAGCUGUCAACCACUCUAGGUAACUUAGCAAAUGAACUAGCUGAAGCCAUAGCUACCAAAUAAAGAUCUUUAGACUCUUUAGCCAGGAUAGUCAUGGAUGACGGAAUAACUUUAGGCUACAUAGUGGUGAAACAGGGAGAAAUUCAUAUGGCAGCUAGCUAACACAUCGCGUUGUGUUUAGAUCCAUACAUCUUCUGAAGUUGAAACACAUGAAAAAAAUAAGACGAUAUGGGAAUUAAUUAUGACAAAUCCUAGGGAAGAGGCUGA
rnacentral:lncRNA from 1 species